rnacentral:misc_RNA from 1 species
AACAAGAACAAUACUUUUUAAACCAAUAAAGUAAAAUUCAUUGACUUUCUAUGGUUCAUGCUUGCGUGUUCAUCUUAAGCUUUAUGUGCAAUUUUCUUGGGUAUAAAAAUCUUGUGUUGUGCGCAGGACAAAUAUUGUGGAAGCACAUAUCCAAUUACAAUCCCUUGUAAAAGCCGAGUACUCCCCUCAAGAACAAAGCAUCAUUAAUAUGGUGUCCAUACAGGAGCUGCAAGCACAACUUGAUAGUCUCCUGUAGGAUGCAUGUAAAGCCUAUUCAUUUUUUUCUUUUUCGUAGAUCAUGAUCACAUGUAGGGCAGUUAUGGUUUGUCAGAAGGAAUUGAAAU